ACUCAAAGGAAUUGACGGGGGCCCGCACAAGCGGUGGAGUAUGUGGUUUAAUUCGAAGCAACGCGAAAAACCUUACCUGGCCUUGACAUCUCCUGACAGCCGUAGAGAUACGGUUUUGACUUCGGUCACAGGAUGACAGGUGCUGCAUGGCUGUCGUCAGCUCGUGUUGUGAAAUGUUCGGUUAAGUCCGGCAACGAGCGCAACCCCUGUUCUUAGUUACCAGCAUUAAGUUGGGGACUCUAGGAAGACUGCCGGUGUUAAACCGGAGGAAGGCGGGGAUGACGUCAAGUCCGCAUGGCCCUUACGGCCAGGGCUACACACGUACUACAAUGGCAGAAACAAACCGUCGCGAAGCUGUAAAGUGGAGCUAAUCGGAAAAACACUGUCCCAGUCCGGAUUGAAGUCUGCAACUCGACUUCAUGAAGUUGGAAUCGCUAGUAAUCGCAGAUCAGCACGCUGCGGUGAAUACGUUCCCGGGCCUUGCACACACCGCCCGU
rnacentral:rRNA from 1 species